AUCUUCGUAGUGUAAUGGUCAGCGCACUCGACGUAUAUUCGAGAGGUCUGAGGUUCGAAUCCCGGCGGAAGCA
rnacentral:tRNA from 1 species